rnacentral:rRNA from 1 species
GUGGAUUAGAUACCCUGGUAGUCCACACUGUAAACGAUGAUUGCUAGGUGUGGGGGGUCUGACCCCUUCCGUGCCGCAGUUAACGCAAUAAGCAAUCCACCUGGGGAGUACGACCGCAAGGUUGAAACUCAAAGGAAUUGACGGGGGCCCGCACAAGCAGUGGAUUAUGUGGUUUAAUUCGAAGCAACGCGAAGAACCUUACCAGGUCUUGACAUCCAACUAACGAACUAGAGAUAGAUUAGGUGCCCUUCGGGGAAAGUUGAGACAGGUGGUGCAUGGUCGUCGCCAGCU